rnacentral:lncRNA from 1 species
CCUUACAGAGGUGUCAACCCAGGGAAGGAGAAUUGGACAGGAAUUCCUUGACAAUAUGAUCAACAGGAAAUCUGCCCUGCCCUGUGCCUUUGCAAUGUGAGUCCAAUUCCUCUUCUGACUUCAGCGAAGACUGAGCCUCAGAGAACCAUCCACCAAGAUGAUUUGUAUUGGAAGGAAGGCCAGAGCUUGCUUAUAGUCCACACCAAAGACAAUACUUUCUGAACAAGAGGUCGAGAGAGAGGAAGAUCAGAUGGAGCAGUCAAGCUAACCAAUCAAAGAGAAAAUUGGAUGCUCAUCCACAUGGCGGAUGCCAUCUUUGUGGAAAGACUCUUUUAAGAUGGAGCUAUGCUGGGGCAAUUUAAACAAGGGUUCCAGUUACAAGUGCUUUCCUUGGCGAUGCCUUUUGUGUGUGUAUCUAGAAUCUCCAUGCCCAAGGGGCAUGCUUGGUGCACAGUCACAGAGCUGUCUUCCAAGAAAGACGAUACAGUGAAAAGCAGGGCUUUUGUCAUGCUGAGUGGGGUAUGUAAGUGUCCUUGAGAUACUGGAGAGGAGGCCACAGGAUGCAGAUACCCCCUGUGAUGCAUGGCAGAGUGCUAAAGAGGCAUGUAGGAGGAAAUGAAGCAAUCGCCAGCAUGUAGAUAAACGACCAUAAAGCAACUGUUAUAAAAAAUCUUCCAAAAAGUUACUGGAAGCAAGCACAGAUUGUCCCUUUACCUCCUGGAAGGGGAUCACACCUUGUAAUCACCCCUUGAUCAUCUGGCAGGAUCUGACCUGAGGCACUU